rnacentral:rRNA from 1 species
GUGGAUUAGAUACCCUAGUAGUCCACGCUGUAAACGAUGAGUACUAAGUGUUGGAGAAAUUCAGUGCUGAAGCAAACGCAUUAAGUACUCCGCCUGAGAAGUACGUUCGCAAGAAUGAAACUUAAAGGAAUUGACGGGGGCCCGCACAAGCGGUGGAGCAUGUGGUUUAAUUCGACGCAACACGAAGAACCUUACCAGGACUUGACAUCCGAUGCAAGACUCUAGAGAUAGAGGGAUAGUUAUGGUCGAGACAGGUGGUGCACGGCUGUCGACAGCU